UGUCGCAAUUUGAAUUUCGAAUGCCGCUGUUAUCGCGCCGGGGUCAGCGCUUCCUAUCGUAUUUAUCGGCGUCACUUCCCGUUCGAUAUUUGAAAUAUUGAAUUUUUUUCACCACUGUACGUUUGUUCGACACUUUUUUUUUAAUUCGUAACUUUCUAACUUUUUAUGCAUGUUUUGGGCUUAGGUUUAUCGUUACUGGGAAUUUUAAAGGUUUGUUAUUUUACUUUUUUUUUUUACAAACGUUACAUUCUUGAAGAUUUAUUAAAAUUCGAAGAAAUUUGUAAGGUUAACAAACAUUUAAAAGUCUAAUCGUUUUAAAUAAAAUUCAAUUGUUUUAUUUAAAUUAAGAACGUAAACGUAUAUAUUUUAUUAAGUUUAGUUGUAAACCUAUCUCGUGACUAAACUACUGCGUCUGUUUGAUGAUAUUUUACUGAUGUUUUGUAUGUAGGUAGACCUUAGAAAAGGUAUGUAGUGUACCUAUGUGGUUUAAUUUAAUGCUUCUUAAGUUAUGUUGCUCUGAUUCAAACUCAUAACGAUACGUAUUAACCAACCACAUAACUUGAAAUACCUAUAAAAUGCUUUAAAAAGUUAAAAACUUUCGUAAAACCAAAAACUAGACAAAUAAAAUAUUAAAGUACCAAAAUUAAUAAUAAUAAAAAAGUACAAAUUAAAACUCUCAAGUAGUCUUGAUCCAGAUACAGUUUGAGCUGUCGAUGUCGACCCGAAAAAUAUUUUCCGAGCACUAAAUAUUUUUAUUUAAAUGUAUAUCUUUUUAAUUAAAUAAAAAACUUUAAUUUCGCGGGUACUUUUAAAUUCCGUUUGUAUAACAUCACAAUUUAACUUAUUUCUGCUUUUGUUUCAUCUUUUCAAUCACUUUUUAUAUAAAUUACAAAGGCCGGUUUUACCAGUCGCUGAUAAAGUUAUCUAAUGAAUAAUGCUAUCCAACAAAUAAAGUUUAUGAUACAUUUUUCUUUCCUAUCAUAAAAGCCAUUUUAUCUUUCGGAUAUUUCUAUUCGCAACCUACGCAUCCUAAAGUUGUAGAAUAAUAGUUUAAGCGAAAAACCGGAUUAUAACCAAAUGGUAGCAAGGUCAUCAUCCGAAUCAAAUCUGAAAAAAUCUAUUUGAGUCUCGUUGAUUUAUUUGUAUGUUCGAAUGAGUCUAACGGAUAAGCUUAAUAAUUGUGUUUGCUGGAAAACGAAAAAAAAAACCGACUUCAAUUACAUCGACAAGUAAUACAACGUAGAUCGACGAAAAAAUAGUCAAGCAACUACGCGUUAUCAAAGAUUACUCAAAAAGUAGUUAUCAGAUCUCGAUAAAAUUUAUAUGUGACCAUAUGAUAAACAUCAGCUUUCGAUUAAAUUAAAAAUUAUCAAAAUCGGUACACCGAGUAAAAAGUUAUUACGGAUUUUCGAGAGUUUCCCUCGAUUUCUCUGGGAUCCCAUCAUCAGAUCCUGGUUUCCUUAUCACGGUACCAAACUAG
rnacentral:misc_RNA from 1 species